AGCCCUGAUUUGUGCACCCAACCUAGCCUAAAAUUAAGCAUGAACCAACACUGACAUGCUUCAUAUUCUCAACACUUUCCUCAAUUUCCAUAUACAAGCUAUAAGGAAGUAAAGUAUUGCAAUAGUAGUCAUUCAACUGGUUGAAAACAUGCACUAAUCAAAAUUCGCUUAUGUGUAGGGAAACCAACCUAUGGUCUAAGAGAUGUGAAAAUUGGUUGAUCCAACAACAAAUGCAGCAACAAUCACAGAGAUGCGAGAAUUGGAC
rnacentral:lncRNA from 1 species